UAGGGAAUCUUCCACAAUGGGCGCAAGCCUGAUGGAGCAACGCCGCGUGAGUGAAGAAGGUCUUCGGAUCGUAAAACUCUGUUGUUAGAGAAGAACAUGCAGGAGAGUAACUGUUCUUGUAUUGACGGUAUCUGAGGAAUAAGCAUCGGCUGACUCUGUGCCAU
rnacentral:rRNA from 1 species